rfam:Pteropus alecto contig103052, whole genome shotgun sequence.
GGCUCCAUAGUGUAGUGGUUAGCACGUCUGCUUUGCAUGCAGAAGCUCCUGGGUUCACGCCCCAAGUGGAGCCA